GCCGGUGUGGCGGAAUUGGCAGACGCGCGGGACUCAAAAUCCCGUUCCACUUAUGGAGUGUCGGUUCGACCCCGACCACCGGUA
rnacentral:tRNA from 1 species